AAUGAAUUGCCUGAAAAAGGAUUACCUUGAUAGGGUAAAUUAUGUAUAUUACUGGUACAUUCAUUA
rnacentral:tRNA from 1 species